rnacentral:rRNA from 1 species
UACGUAGGUGGCAAGCGUUGUCCGGAAUUAUUGGGCGUAAAGCGCGCGCAGGCAGUUCUUUAAGUCUGAUGUGAAAGCCCACGGCUCAACCGUGGAGGGUCAUUGGAAACUGGAGAACUUGAGUACAGAAGAGGAAAGCGGAAUUCCACGUGUAGCGGUGAAAUGCGUAGAGAUGUGGAGGAACACCAGUGGCGAAGGCGGCUUUCUGGUCUGUAACUGACGCUGAGGCGCGAAAGCGUGGGGAGCAAACAGG